UGAUACCAGGGUCAAAAGGUCUAAACCCACAUGAGCUUGCUCAUAGGUGGGUGAAAGACCUUGGGACCCGCCACGAUAUGCGAAUAUUGGGGGAAUUGUGGGAGUGCUUAGCACGGAACAAUUCGCAGGUAUUA
rnacentral:sRNA from 10 species